rnacentral:rRNA from 1 species
UACGAAGGGGGCUAGCGUUGUUCGGAAUUACUGGGCGUAAAGGGCGCGUAGGCGGUACUUCAAGUCAGGCGUGAAAGCCCCGGGCUCAACCUGGGAACCGCGCUUGAGACUGGAGAACUAGAGUUCGGGAGAGGAUGGUGGAAUUCCCCAGUGUAGAGGUGAAAUUCGUAGAUAUUGGGAAGAACACCGAUGGCGAAGGCAGCCAUCUGGACCGACACUGACGCUGAGGCGCGAAAGCGUGGGGAGCAAACAGG